ACAACCACAGGCUUUGCUGUGGAACGUGACUCAGAAUUCUGCCUUGAUGUGCUGAGGCUGCCUCAUGAUGAGCUUCAUUGGAAAUGUCUUUUGGUGAGGGGCAAGCCACACACUUCUUGUUUUCCUUCUCUGUAUUCCUCCCAAGAGCCCUUUCUGAACUCCUGGGGUGAAAAAGAAAAUAGUCUGAGAUGGCGUUAUUCUGUUUAAGCAAAGCCUUGACUGUGUGUGGGAGGCACGCCUCAAGCCAUCACCGGAUGGAGUGGUGAAAACUGGGUUUACUGCAUGUCAAGAACAAGCAAAAGGGAAAUGACCCUGGACUAGAAGAACAAAGUGGUCACACAGGAAGUUACUUGAAAUAUUUGGGAUGUUUCCAAAACAAAACUGCUACAACCAAAACAAGGUGAAUACAGCCAACUAUUUACUGAAGUGCUUUGUUCGUCAUGCUUGAAACUACCAGUUCAUCUAAGGAACCAACCACCAGUAUGGUCCAUCAUGAAAAUAAUAUCAAGCUCUGCCAGCUGUAUGAUUCUGGAAGAAUUACGCAACUCUCCUUGACCCAGUUUCCUCACCUGUAAAGUAUUAAUAAUCAUUCUUUUGAUUUAUGAAGGCCUAUAAAGAU